GAUGAACGCUGGCGGCGUGCCUAAUACAUGCAAGUCGAGCGAGCGGACGAGAAGCUUGCUUCUCUGAUGUUAGCGGCGGACGGGUGAGUAACACGUGGAUAACCUACCUAUAAGACUGGGAUAACUUCGGGAAACCGGAGCUAAUACCGGAUGAUAUUUUGAACCGCAUGGUUCAAAAGUGAAAGACGGUCUUGCUGUCACUUAUAGAUGGAUCCGCGCUGCAUUAGCUAGUUGGUAAGGUAACGGCUUACCAAGGCAACGAUGCAUAGCCGACCUGAGAGGGUGAUCGGCCACACUGGAGCUGAGACACGGUCCAGACUCCUACGGGAGGCAGCAGUAGGGAAUCUUCCGCAAUGGGCGAAAGCCUGACGGAGCAACGCCGCGUGAGUGAUGAAGGUCUUCGGAUCGUAAAACUCUGUUAUUAGGGAAGAACAUAUGUGUAAGUAACUGUGCACAUCUUGACGGUACCUAAUCAGAAAGCCACGGCUAACUACGUG
rnacentral:rRNA from 1 species